UUUUUAAAAAAAAAAUACAAAAAAAAUAAAGAAACAGAGGACGCCCACCGUAGUUUUCAUUUUCAUUUUUCCUCUUCACUCUCUCCCCCCAAUUUUUUUCCCAUCACCACCGUUCAGCUCCGGCCACCACGAAGCAGUGCCGACGCCCACCAUCAAGAUGAAAAAAGUUGCUGGACGUGGAAGAAAUGUCCGCCACCUAGCAGAAAGCAGGUUGAUGAUGGAGAUUGAGGAUGGGAAGAGAACAAGGAAGCCGAAACGGCAAGCGAAAAAUAUGUCCGUAAAAAGAAACUUCUAAAAGGUCUAAAGUGUAAGGAGUUACAGGAUCUUAUUGAUGAUAUCAGACUUUCUGUCACAAGUUAACAGAGAGCUCAUGGAGUUGAUUGAAUCACUACAAGGCAGAAUUGUAGAGGAGGAAAAUGUUGAGGAGCUGAGCGAAGAAACAGAUGGCAGCCAUGAGAAGCUGGAUGAAAUUGCUGAUAAUGUAGAAAUUUAUGAAGUGAAUUGUGCAUUAAUUAAAUCGUGUUGAUCCUCAAUUUGCCUGUUUCUCAAAACUUGUUGAUAUUCGAUAAUCUAGGAAUUGACAUUCAAACAUCUUAAUAUACACUCAUUUGUAUUUA